UAGGGCCAGCGCCAGCGGAG
rnacentral:misc_RNA from 1 species